ACUGGUAUGGCUGAUUGGUAAAGCGCCCAUGCGAUAGCUGGGAGAAUGCUGGUCCGAUUCCAGCUGCCAGUU